rnacentral:rRNA from 1 species
GACGAACGCUGGCGGCGUGCUUAACACAUGCAAGUCGAACGGAAAGGCCCUGCUUUUGUGGGGUGCUCGAGUGGCGAACGGGUGAGUAACACGUGAGUAACCUGCCCUUGACUUUGGGAUAACUUCAGGAAACUGGGGCUAAUACCGGAUAGGAGCUCCUGCUGCAUCGUGUGGGUUGGAAAGUUUCGGCGGUUGGGGAUGAACUCGCGGCUUACCAGCUUGUUGGUGGGGUAGUGGCUUACCAAGGCUUUGACGGGUAGCCGGCCUGAGAGGGUGACCGGCCACAUUGGGACUGAGAUACGGCCCAGACUCCUACGGGAGGCAGCAGUGGAGAAUAUUGAACAAUGGGCGGAAGCCUGAUGCAGAAACGCCGCGUGCGGGAUGACGGCCUUCGGGUUGUAAGCCGCUUUCGCCUGUGACGAGGCGUGAGUGACGGUAAUGGGUAAAGAAGCACCGGCUAACUACGUG